rnacentral:lncRNA from 1 species
CUUCUUUCUUAUAUUUUUCUUCUAAUUCUUCAAACUUAGCGUCGUUAUGACUUUGAACUGGUGUUAAAGGAGCAGUAAAACUUUUCUGUGGAGUACCACUGAACGACAACUCUGCUGCAAUCAAUGACUGCUGACUUCUCUCAAGCUCACAUUUGUAUCUUUUCAGUUCUUGUUCUAAUCUUUCAAUUUCUUUUUUGCUGGAACUCAGCUGCCCUGACAGAAUGUUGACUUGAGAUUCUUUUACUUGAAGAUCAUGUGAAUUUUUCUGCUUUGCUUUGUCAAGACUAUCACACAAUUCCAUCAGGCUCUG